UACGAAGGGGGCUAGCGUUGUUCGGAAUUACUGGGCGUAAAGCGCGCGCAGGCGGCUUUCCAAGUCAGGGGUGAAAUCCCAGAGCUCAACUCUGGAAUUGCCUCUGAGACUGUGAGGCUUCGAGUACGGGAGAGGUGAGUGGGAUUCCCAGUGUAGAGGUGAAAUUCGUAGAUAUUGGGAAGAACACCGGUGGCGAAGGCGGCUCACUGGCCCGUUACUGACGCUCAUGCGCGACAGCGUGGGGAUCAAACAGG
rnacentral:rRNA from 1 species